CUAAGGAACUCCGGGUGGCUGUGUAGAACCAUCCUCACCCUAGAAAGGGGGAAACUGAAAGAAAAAGCAGAACACGCCAUUAACAAGGCCAGAACCCCGACUGCCAUUCCUGGACGGGAGCCACCAACACCCGCAAAAUCGAUCGAUUCAGCCUGGGACGCUUGCUGUUUCCGAACCUCUGUUGCCACCUAUCCCAGUUUGGAGGGAAUUUUCCCAAGGAUGGUGAAGAAGGGAUUUCCACACGCCGCCUCACUCAGCCCCGCACCCCUGGCCACCAGCCAGGACUUAGGGUGUAGUUAAGGAUCUUUCAAUUAGAAGGGAGGCUUCUGAUUCCCAAAAGCACUCAAAAUAUUUAAGGAAGUGCUUUUUAUAAUCAGUCCUAGAGCCUUGCUGCACUGGAUACUCCUGUUAAUUAAUUUCUUCUCCUUUGACAUUUUAAGUGCUAAUUAUAGGAGAAGGUGAUUAACACUGAGAAAGGAGGAGGGGUGUGUGUGUGUGUGUGUGUGUGUGUGUGUGUGUUUUUAAUCAUGACACAAAUUUCCCCCAGUGGAAAGUGACAUGUUUCUGGAGAUCCAGGGAAUUUAAACCAAUGAAUACAUAAAAACAGUCACAUGAGUGAUGACUAACAGUAGCAGUAGACAGGCCACCACUCUUCCUUGCCAUAGUCAUCCAAAAUGAAAUGAGCAUCUUUUGAAAACCUAAGCCUCAUUCUACUCCUGUCCCUCUUUUGUCACUCCUAUCUUCCUGUUUUCCAGGCUUCAUGACCACACUGCUGUAGGAAGCCAUAAGUUGGAAAUCAACGGGCCUGGCUUGAAGUGUGGCCUUAGGCAACACCGUUCUCAUCUACAUCUGGAUUCUCCAACAAAGCUGGAAACUGCGAUUGCAUUUAAGACCCACCCAGGUAAUCCAAGAUGAUCUUCCCAUCUCAAGACCCUUAACUGAAUCCCACCUCCAAAGUCCCUUUUGCCAGGUAAGGCAACAUUCCCAGGUCCCGGGGAUUAGGAUCUACAUAUGUUCGGGAGUGACUAUUGAGCCUACCAUGCAUACCACGCUCCUUCCCUCACCAGGGUCUUUGUACCUCUUGUCCCCCAUUACUAGAAUGCUCCCUUCUUCCCUCUCACUCUUUGCUUGGCCAUAUCUUUCUCAUUCUUGGGGACACAGCUUACCUGGCACCUCCUCAGACAACCUGUCUCGGACCAGCCCCUUAACAGCCUGAAGACUUUUUUUUUUUUUUUUUUGAUACGGAGUCUUGCUCUGUUGCCCAGGCUAGAGUG
rnacentral:lncRNA from 1 species